rnacentral:tRNA from 1 species
GCCUGGGUGGCUCAAUGGUUGAGCAUCUGCCUUCUGCUCAGGGUGUUGUCCUGGAGUCCUGGGAUCAAGUCCCACGUCAGGCU